rnacentral:rRNA from 1 species
UACGUAGGGGGCAAGCGUUGUCCGGAAUUAUUGGGCGUAAAGGGCGCGUAGGCGGCUUUGCAAGUGACGGGUGAAAUCCCUCGGCUUAACCGAGGAACUGCCUGUCAGACUGCAUGGCUUGAGACCGGGAGAGGUGAGUGGAAUUCCCAGUGUAGCGGUGAAAUGCGUAGAUAUUGGGAGGAACACCAGUGGCGAAGGCGGCUCACUGGACCGGUACUGACGCUGAUGCGCGAAAGCGUGGGGAGCAAACAGG